CUCUGUAGAAGAAAUCCAUGCAACAACUUUAACUCCAAUGUCACUGUCCAACUAUAAUAGCAAUGCCAAGUUUAGUUUCAGAAAACUCAUCAUAUCUUUUAUUUCUUAAAACACUAGGAUACAUUAUGCCAAGCAAAGUUUAAGCACAGAAAUGAACAUAAUGUAGUAAUAAAGAAACGAAAAUUUUGAUCUUUUAUUUGUUUACCCGAGAACAUGCAUACGAUGUAAUAACUCCCAAAACUCCAGACAGCCAGUUCUGCCACCACCAAGACCACCAUAAAAGCGAAUUCAGCAGAAAGAUAAUACUCAUAAUGCAGCACUUUGCCGCAACAUAAUCAAGAACCCCAUCCACCACCACCUGGAGUUAAAAUCUGAAGAAUUUCCCCAGCCUGCACCUCAACUGUGUUCUUACCUCCAAGGUAAACUCUGCGUUUAUCUUUUGUAAUCAGGUAAUUAGCCCCACGAGCACCAUCUUUUCCUCCUUUUAAACCUCUUGGUGCGUGAACUCGCCUCUCUGAAAGAAUGCUCACUACAACUGGUCGUCUGAACUCUAUCUCCCUUAUGAGCCCAUCACCACCUUUAUUAAGUCCACUUCCCCCACUGUUCUCUCUAAGUCCAAAUUUAUGCAAAAGAACGGGACACCUCUGCUCAAAAAUUUCUGGAUCAGUCAUACGGGUAUUAGUCAUAUGGCACUGGACUCCACUCGUCCCAUCCCAGCUUGGACCAGCCCCACUUCCACCCCCAAUUGUUUCAUAAUAACCGAAAGUAUUAUCCCCAAAAGUGAGAUUAUUCAUGCAACCCUGAGAGCAAGCACAGGCCUGAAAUGCAGUAAGUACAACAUCAGUUACUCUUUGAGAUGUGAGAACAUUACCUCCAACCACAGCAGCCUUCUCACUUGGAGAGAGGAAUGAUCCUGGAGGAAUAUAGAUUUUAACAGGGGCUAAGCAACCCUGGUUGAGAGGAAUAUCAACAUCCACCAAACAGCGAAGGCAGUAUAUGACUGAUGCAGCUGUUACUGCCUCUGGCGCAUUCCAAUUGCCAUACACCUCGGGGCUAGUCCCACUAAAAUCAAAAAUUGCUUCCCCUCUCUC
rnacentral:misc_RNA from 1 species